UCAUGCUCCUGAACGGGUAAGCUCCCCCUCUAGUGUUCACUGCUCAUCAGAUUAUUCCUCCAACAAAUAAGACAGAGAACUGCCUGUUUUUUUGGUUCCCUAUCGAAGGACGGAGCUUGGAACAACAUUUAUAACGGUUUAAUGACACAAAGAGUAAAAGGUGCUGCAGCCCAUCCAUCUGCUGAAUGUUGCCAAGUAACAGCCAUCCAUGGAACAUGGAAAAAUGAAUUCACCCGGCCAGGCCCAAAUUGUCGACCCACAGAACAUGAGAUCUGAAACGAAGCCAAGCAAAGCAACAUCACCUUCUGGAAAGUGCAGAAACUGCAAUCAAGAUCAACAAAGAAAAGCACCCUUCCCAUAGAUUCAUCUCUUUGGCGUUUAAGUGUUUGGGCGAGUCUACAAAACUCAGAUUCCUCAUUUAACUAGAUGUUCCAGGUCACAGAGAUAUUCUACUAAGGCAAUUUUCAAAAGACCAUAAAACCACCACAUCAAUUUAUGCUUGCAGGCUAUAGUGCAGUAAUAUCAUCAUGGCUCACUGCAAUCUCGACUUCUCCAGCUCAAACAAUCCUCCCACCUCAGCCUCCCAAGCAGUUGGGACUACAGGCACGUGUCAUUACACCCAGACAGGGUAUCACUCUGUUGCCCAGGUUGGAUUCCAGUGGCAUGAUCAUGGCUCAGUGCAGUCUCGACUUCUGGGGUUCAAGCGAUUCCCCCAUCUCAGCCUCCUCAGUGGCUAGGAUCACAGGUAUACACCACCAUACCCAGAGUCAUGCAGGGUGAGCCAUUCUUGCCACUGAGAAGUAUGUCAUAUCUGAGAACAACUGACCCAGAUAAUUGCUCAGUAAGAGUAUAUUUGAGAUUAUUGAAGACUUAAAAGCAUCUCAUUAUUAAAUGUGCUAUAUCAUGUUUUUCACUUUAGGCUCCAAGUGUUUUUGACUUGAUAAAGUUUUGUUGUGUUAAUUUUGAUCACUUUAAUCUUUUAUUGGAUCAUUUUCCCACAUUAAAUUUAAAUAGGAAGAACAUAUGUACUGCUGUUUUGCCAUAAACUCUGAUGUGCCUCAACUGGCUUCCAACUUCAGUCUGUUCUGGAAGGCUGUACUUACAGGUCUCAGCCAGCAAGCUGAAACUGACAAAGGAGCGUUCCACUUCUCUGCUGUAAAAGUUGUACUUACCUUGUUUUCAUGAAACCAAUCUCCGUUUCCAAGGAAACAAGAACAAAAAGGCAGUUGGCAGCUAGCAUCUGGGACUUAGAAGAACUCUCACAUGUCAAUUUCAACUGCUGGCUGCCGGCUCAAACGUAAAGAUGUGGGGUAUUAAAAUCACCUUCAGACUUGUAACGUACAAAAGAAUAUUAAGGUUUUUUCCUUAGUGUUUAAAUAAUCAAGUUUAAUAGCAAACCAUUUAAAAUAUCCUUUGAAAUACUAUAACAAAUAUUAUAAUUGUUAAAAAUUAUCUAAUACAAAAACUUGUUUUAUUUAAAAACAGUAGGCACAUAUAUUGCAGAUAUUUUCUCAGUUUUACACCAUAAAUUUUUGCCACUUUUCCCCUUUUACUUAAUCAUUUCACUUUCUCCUUUUUAAAUAAUGAUUCAUAUGGUCCCAACUACUUACUCCUUUCUCUUUUCUUUUUUUUUUUUUUUUUUUUUUGAUUCAUGCAAAAUAUCCAGAUAGUGUCUGUUUUAUCCGUAAAGCUUUGUGGCCAUGUUUAGUGUUUUAAUAAAGUGUUUUAAUGAUGAAACAUGAAAAUGCACAUUGUCAUUUUUCUCUUAAAAAUAUAAUUUCAUGAUUCUAGGCUUGGACACCUACAUUAACACAACCUGCU
rnacentral:lncRNA from 10 species